rnacentral:rRNA from 1 species
GAUGAACGCUGGCGGUAUGCUUAACACAUGCAAGUCGAACGGUACCUUCGGGUAUAGUGGCGGACGGGUGAGUAACGCGUGAGAAUCUAUCUUCAGGUAGGGGACAACAGUUAGAAAUGACUGCUAAUACCGGAUGUGCCGAAAGGUAAAAGAUUUAUUGCCUGAAAAAGAGCUCGCGUCAGAUUAGCUAGUAGGUGGUGUAAGAGACUACCUAGGCUUCGAUCUGUAGCUGGUCUGAGAGGACGAUCAGCCACACUGGAACUGAGACACGGUCCAGACUCCUACGGGAGGCAGCAGUGGGGAAUUUUCCGCACUGGGCGAAAGCCUGACGGAGCAAUACCGCGUGAGGGACGCAGGCUCUUGGGUCGUAAACCUCUUUUCUCAAGGAAGAUUCAGACGGUACUUGAGGAAUAAGCAUCGGCUAACUCUGUG